rnacentral:rRNA from 1 species
AACUCUAUGCGGUGAAUCACUGGGCUCAUGUGCCGAGAAAGAGCGCAGACAACUGUGCGAAUUAAUGUGAAUCGCAGACUGCUUUGAACAUCGACCUCUUGAACGCAAAUUACGGCCGUAGGUUGCCUAACUCGGUCCUCCUGCUGCUGCUGCU